UGAUACUGCGGGUCUAAGUAGAGGUAGAAAGUAGCUCGAAUAACGUAGUAUAAGCGGUGAAAUGCAUAUGAUAUUACUUAGAACGACCAAUAGCGCACGGCUCGUUACUAUGUCUUAACUGACGCUGAUGGACGAAAGCGAGAGGAGCGAACAGGAUUAGAUACCCUCGUAGUCCACGCCGUGAUCGAUGCUAACUGGUUUUCGGCCUUCGUAAUCAGAGACUAAGCGAAAGUGAUCCGUCAGCGACCUGGGGAGUCCGACUGCAAGUUUGAAACUCAAAGGAAGUGCCCGCGCCCCGCACGAGCGGUGGCUUAUAUGGUAUAAUUAGAUGAUACGCCAGCACCCCUUCCAAUACUUAAAUGGGAAUGGAGAGGUUGAGAAAUAGACCUUCCUUCGGACAAUUUUCAAGGUCCUGCAUGGUUGUCUUCAGCUCGUUACGUGAGGUGUUAAGUUAAGUCCUGCUCAUAGCGCAAUCCCUGUCUCGAGUUGCCAUCAUUCAGUUGUGGACUCUUGUGCGGCGGCGUACGCAAGUAGAGAGGAAGAAAGGAUGAAAUUUCGCGUUCACGGCCGUUGGGUGUUGCACCUCACACGUAAUACAAUGGCCGGUACAGAGGGCAGCUGCACAGCGAUGUGAUGCAAAUCUCGAAAGCCGGAUUCGGUUCGGAUGGGGUUAUCGAACUCGACUUUAUGAAGGUGGAAUUGCUAGUAAUCCCGCAUCAGCCAUGGCGCUUUCAUCCGUUCCAGGGCCCCCCACCCACUCCCCCCCGAACCAUGGAAGUCCCCGGUACGGAAGGCGGAGACCCCCCCCUUUAAAGUUUCCCCGGGCCGAGUGGCGAUCACCUCUCAGAGAGCAGAGAUAGAUAA
rnacentral:rRNA from 1 species